CUGUGCCGAGCACCUGGAUUCCCUCCACCCCGAUGGGACGGCCGUCUAAAGACAAAAAGAAACAGUUGAGAAGGAUGAGUAAAAAUCUAUGGAGGUCAGCAUAAAAAGAACCAGGUACACGGGCACAGUAGGUGUUUAUGUUAGAUGGGGGUCAACUGAACUAUAGUAAAGAUCAGAGUGGGUGUAAAUCACUAGCAAGACAUCUAAUUAACAUCAUGCAAGUUUACAGCCACGAGCUGACAGAAGCAGUGCUAUUUCUGUCCCCCCAAGGAUGCAGCGCUCACAGCAUGUGCUCCUCAGGAUUAUAAUGUGAUAAAGCUGCCAGCGCACCAUACACCGAGAAAGGAAUUUGUCUGAAAAAUCCUCAGAGUACAUUUUCUUUUAAGCUGGUUUGCUUCUUGGCACUGGAAAUGUUUGAGCUGUCACUCUGGGACCAGAAAUUCUAACUUGUCAACUCCAACAAUGGCUUCAGUCUGCCUAUGAUGUUAGCUAUGGGGCCAAAGGGGCAUUUUAAUCCCAUCUAUGAGUUCCAUCUGCAGCCUGUAAGCCUGUAUGUUCCAGAUAUGAUACACCGAAAGGCCAGGAAUGGAGGGAAGGGAGACAGGUACCACAGUGGACAAAGGAGCUCCAGUCAGAAAUGCUAACUAUGUGGUCAAUAGUCAGUGAAUACUUUUGGGUUCAGUCCCUUAUCUUUAAACUUAAAGCAAGUCACUUUUCAACAGAAAGGUUACUUUGGAUAAUGAGUUUGACUGGAAUUUCAAAAUAAUGCCACUAAGCCUAAAAAUGAAUUUGCUGAUCAGGAUUAUCAACAAGUCUACUGUCGUGACCCACAUGACCAAGAGUUUACUGGAACACUGAAACUGCCAUCAAAACAGCCUUCUGUCACAUACUGCUGGUUGCAAAACAAAUGAGAGAUGAUGGUCUAUGGGUGUGACUACAGAUCUCAGAGUCCUCUGUGGUGGUAAAACUGUUGCUGACGAUAACAGUAUGAUCACCACUUAUCUAAGUGAAAAAAAGACUAAAAAACUGUAAAAGCGUACUUUGAAAACAUAAUGGCACACUCCAAACCAAUACACUGUGGCAUAUGAUGGCCUAAACAAAUUAUAUGAUGACAAAAAAUGAUUACCAGACUCAUGAUUUUGUGUGUACAUUGUGCAUGAUGAUAUAUCCAAUUACUGCACAUACAAAUGUGCUUGUAUCAAAGAUAAUUAGAUUAUAUAAUGGUGUGUAUUUUACAUUACAGCCAUAUGUGACAUGAAUAUCUCACUAGGUUGUCUACACAACGAGUUUAUGAAUGUCUUAAUUCAUCAAGAGUACAUGAAAUCACAUAAUAUUUUAAAUUUUAUAUACACUGCCUUAUGAAUGUGGUAAAAACAUGUUAUUACUGUGUAGCUAGUGUGAGUGUGUAGGCAUUAUGAGCACCUUUGUCUUGCAACUGUUAUUUUGGUUUCUUCAGCCAAACUGUAGUGAUGACACAUACUGCCAUGAAAUGCAAAACAACGAAAUCAAAGCAAGCCUUUAUUCUGGGUGAGACAACAGGUCCAAAACCUAAAACUCCAAAGAAGUGCAGGCAACACAGAAAGCAAAACAUACAGAGAGCCAAGGAAGAAGGCUGCACAAACAGAUAUUGCUACAAAAGGGUGACAAGAUGAAAUUAAUAAGUGCAGGUGAAUACAACAAACAGAAAGAGAAACCCAGAUCAUGACGCAGGAGACAACCAGCUACUGGAGUCAAACAGGAAAUGACCAAAACACAACUACACUGACACCAAACAAGACGACAGAGAGAAAAGGAACCCAGGAGGAGAAAGGGACAAGCCCUGUAACAACACAGAGAGGGAAACUUUAAGAUAAUCAAAGCAGGAAAUCAAGGCAAUAAUAACUUAUUAAUAGAAUAAAAACAGGAACCAAAACCCAUUCAUAUCUCAAGAAGUAAAAGUCACCUUGCAGUGGUAUAGUAAGGAAAUCAAACUACAGAAAGAGCCCUAAGACCUUGACAGAUAAGCGCCAAUUUAAGACAAAACAAUAAAUAAUUACAAGCAUCAACUGUGACAUAGUCCAGGAAACCUAAACGACAAAGACAAUUCACUCCUGUGAUACAACAACUGAAGAUAAACACAGCCAACACACCGCUGGUGCACACACACGACUCGUGUGAUAAAUGUUGCAGCUUCAAUUAGUAAAUGUGUAAUUAUGUGGCGAUGCCUAAUGAAGACAAUACAUGUAAUUAAUGCAAUUAAU